UACGUAGGGGGCAAGCGUUGUCCGGAAUCAUUGGGCGUAAAGCGCGUGUAGGCGGUCCGGUAAGUCCGCUGUGAAAGUCGGGGGCUCAACCCUCGGAUGCCGGUGGAUACUGUCGGGCUUGAGUACGGAAGAGGCGAGUGGAAUUCCUGGUGUAGCGGUGAAAUGCGCAGAUAUCAGGAGGAUCACCAAUUGCGAAGGCAGCUCGCUGGGACGUUACUGACGCUGAGACGCGAAAGCGUGGGGAGCAAACAGG
rnacentral:rRNA from 1 species